GCAAGGAGCAACCAGAAGAUUGUAAGAUGGUAAGCAGGGCAGUGAGCAGAGAGGGGCGCAUUCUAGGGGACCAUGUGCGGCUAGGUGACCUGCAAGGGGCCUGGAGCCUGCUCUCACAGACCAGAAGAGGGUGUGAGGGUCUGACCUGAGACAAGCCCCUGGGAGCUACAAGAAGCAACAGGAGUGGGAUCAUCUGGUCCUUUCUGUGUAGUUACUUUAUGUAUGUAUGUUAACACUUUUAACGUCUGAGAAGUACUGGCAAGAAUUAAGUUUUAAAGCUUCACAGUUGGGUUUAGAGGUGUUCUUUGGUGCCAUGAAACUUUGCACAUGUGUGCUUUCCCAUGUGCACCCAUUUGCCCCAAAGAAUAGGCAGAAAAUAUAUUAAAAGUACAUUUGUGUUCUUAGCUCACCUCUGAGCUUCUGGGCAGGGGUGGGAGGAGCAUUUUUUGCAAGAAAGUAGGAUUAUUUAGGGAAAACGGAGUGGGCUGUCUGAGAAAUGCUGAGCAAGAGGCCGCUGUGGGACUUAGAUACUGGCCUCAAGCUGAGGGCGGAGCAGAGCUGGGGCUGGGGUGCCAGCACCCCAGGUGCUGAGCCACGGUGCUGGGGUAUGUCCAGCAGGAGGGCAGAAUAUCCAUGAUCACGUCAGGCACAUCGUAAGUAGCUACAUUGUAAGCGGUUGGGAGGACCAGACCAGGUUUUUAUACUCAGCCUCAGCUUUGCCAAGCCCAGAAACACACUGCUCUCCUCACCUCCUUCACUCCUGGCUCUGAACUCCGGGAAGCCUUUCAAGAAGUCUUUCUGGAUAAACUAGCAUUUUGUUGCAGUUCUGGAGUACUUUUCAUAGACAUGCUUGAGAUUGUUUCAUUUGUAAGAAGUGUGUCCCUGUGUUCUAAAGUUGUUGUGUUAUUUCUGUAGUCUCAUGAUUGAUCUCGUUGAAGUUGAAAAGGAGCGCCUUUUAGAUGAAUGGUUCGCCCUGGAUGAGGUCCCCAGGGGAAAGCUUCACUUGAGGCUGCAGUGGCUCACGCUGGUCCCGGACACGUCCAGUCUGGACAAGGUGCUGGCAGACUCAGAGCUGACAAAGACCAGUCCAGUGAUGGUCUCUCCUCCUCCUUGCUGAUCUUGUAUUUGGAUUCGGCAAGGAACCUUCCAGUAAGUAGCACCCUGGGUUGUGCUGGGUGCCCGCCAGCUGGUGGCAGAUCCCACCGUACUCAACUGCACUGUGUCACCUGUUUCUAUUGCGGUUUUCACUUCAUUCCAGCCUGAGGGCAGCAGUGGACAGGAACACAUGUGUACUUAGUGUGGUCUGGGACUCAUACGUAUCUUCUGUAGGGGGUGCUUAUGCAUCUUACUAAUUUCUCCAGGAUGCUCAGAAUUAUCUGUACUGUGGCAUGUUUUGCAAAGAAAUCUCCAAUACACAAGGAAGGAGUAUGCCUAGCAUUUAGGGAAGAAGGUACUCUAUAGAAAGUCACUGAUCA